CAGGAUGCUGUCACUCCACUUUCUGAAGCAGAAGCAAUUGAUUUGGUGAAAACAGUUUUUGUUGCUGCAACUGAGAGAGAUAUAUACACUGGAGACAGGGUUGAAAUUGUCAUCCUACUGAUUCUUGGGAAGGUGAUAGGACUGACUUCAUACUCAGCCCACGAGCCUUCAAAAAGUUGGCUCUUCCAAACGUUGACAAAAAGUUACUUAAUUAUGGUGUGGUUUAAGUAGAAUAUAAAAGGAUCUCUUGCAAGUACCCAGGUUACAAGGACAAGGUCACCUACAAGAUCAAUGAAAACAACAAUUAUCCAUACUACUUGCCUUUAAGUGUUUUAUAUGUAAGCGGCCAAAACGACAUCACAGCAGUUGAAUUGUGGCAGGUAUAUAUAUGAAUAUUUUAGUAUAUAUCUUCAAUUCGCCUUCAUUUUUUUAUAUAGCUUAAUAAUACUCAAUGCCAUUUUUAAAACUGUCCAAAAAGGUCUCUUUGAAAUAUGCUAUACCAUUGGAAAAUUAUUCAAUGUAUAGAAUAAGUCUUUUAAAAAGUUGAAAACUGAUUUUAACCUUUAAUACUAAUAUUCUAACCAAUAAAUUGAUUGAUGAGCCAAUGUUGUUUGUUUAUGUGCAGGAGGAUACCAAACAAUGGAAACCCAUGCGCAGAGCCUAUGGGGCCGUUUGGGACAUGGCAAAUCCACCAACAAGCAGCGGACUGAUCACCUUGAGAUUCCAAGCUAUAGCUAGUUUAGGGUACACUUAUUGGGUUCGCUCUACCAAUUCCAUACCCAAAGUCUGGAAGUCUGGGGCUGCUUAUGAGGCCACUGCUAAACUCAUCACUAAAUAAAUUUAAAUCCAUAUAUGGAUAUUACAUGUGUUCUCUGAUAAUCUCUUAUAGUGUAUAGGGAAAAGGUAAGUUUCUUUGGUAUUUUUUUAAUGAAUAAAGUUGUCUGGGAUUGUUCUAAAAGUUUCAAAAUAUAUGGAUUAAGUUCAUUUUGUAUUUUUUUUUUCUUAUUAGGUCUACCAUGUUUUUUUUUGGCAUUUAAAUAUUGUAUAUUUUUUUUGUGUGAUCUUUGUUUGUUAGCAUGAUGAGAAGCAUUUGGGGAUAAUCUGAGUUUUUCUUCUCAAGUCAUAGCAUUUUUUAUCCAAACAUUUCCUGGUUCCAUUUGGUAAGAACUUAUAUUUAUAUAAAUAUAUAUUAGUUUCCCGUCAUACAUACACACAUCUAUAUAUUGCAUUUGUGUUGUUAUGCAAUUUGGUUAGUAAAUGAUUCUUAAAUGAAUUUAAUAUUUGAGAAAUUGACAAGAUUUCAUAAAGAUGUACUAUUUCUCACAAUAUCCAAAGUUAGAAUGAUUUAUACUUUUUUUUGUGUGUUUUAUUUUUGUAUUGGGGUUUUUACUUUAUUCUUGAUAGCUGAAAUGAAUAUAGGGAAUUCACUUUGGAUUGACAGUUGGAACAUGUAUUUUUCCUUUUUUUUUUCUUUUUCUUCUAUUUUCAAUUAAAGAUAUCACUAUUUUAAUCUUCCAACCACAAGUAAUUUUUUUCUUAAACUAUAUAUUGUCUCACUUUUUCAAAUUAUAAUUUUAUUAUUAUUUUUUUCUAUUACCCUUCAGUGUGCUGGAGCAGUAUUUCCACAGAGAUCUGAGAGAGCUGCACUGGUCUUUACCCCCCCACAAACGUAACCAUUGUCUACAUAUCCAUCGAAUUUGUGCAGUUCUGACAUUCAUCAAGAUACAGCUGAGCCGUUUGCAGAGUUUGAGUUUCCUACCUUGAGGUUGUUGGGUUGGAUUUAGUGGAUGAUGAAAGAAAGCCUGAAAGAACCCCCACAAAACAUAUGCCCACUCCAGAUCAGUAAAUCAAUGCAUUCAAUCCUGCCUUUUCUUACUAUUUGUAUUACUGUUGUGAAAAUCUCUACAAAUUAAACAAGGUAUUUCAUAACAGUACACAACUUUUUAGAAAAGUUUCUCUGUACACUGUCUAUAAUUUUUAUGUAACAAUUUUUUUUUGUUUAACACCUUAUUGUUUCUCUGAUAUUUCUUUGUUGUAAAAUUUAAAUUUUGAUGGAUUAAUCUCUUCAAAAAAAAACAAUUAUAUAUAUAAAUUAUGAUGAGUUAGAAUUAGAUUCUCUAAGUUGGAAUUAAGUGUUUUAUGUAUAUAAUAGAUUAAGAAAAUGAAUAUUAAAAAAAAUGAUUAAGCAUUGAGUACCUUUAGUAUAUAAUAUAUAUAAAAUUGAUGUUUAUAAAUAUAGAUUUAUUGUUAUGAAUCUAAAAAAGAUGGUAUCGCCUCUGUUUUGAAAAAAUUGUGAUAUUUUGAUGCUUUAUUUCUCUUGUUUGUGACUGUUUUUUCUACAGAGGUUCUUCCAAUUCUUUUGUUUGCAUUGUCAGUUUACUGCUAUAUGCUUCCAUGAGCUUUUUGUUUUUGUAUGUCUUCACUAUAUUCAUGUUUUUCCUUUGAGAGGCAACCAGUACAAAUUGUGAUAUAGAUGAUUAUAUAUCUAGGUAGGUCAGGUGUUAAUUAGUUUUCCAGUAAAUAAAUGCAGGAAUUGGUUCUUCUUCUGGUAGUGUGGGUAGUAUUACCUCAGAUGUCUCAUCAGUUGCCAAGAAGAGUCGAUUCCCAGACCUAAGAGGUUUUUGCCACUUAUUAUGAAUCCCAAUACCAAGAGUCUAUGUGUAUAUACAUAUCAAUAUAUUGAUAGAUAUAACAAUAAAAAUAAGCUACUAAUAUUACCAACUAUUCUUGAUGGUGAUACUCUGAGCUUUUCAGGUGAAACCAACAUAAAUUCUCUUGAAGCCAUGGUGAGUCCUUUGUAUAUUUAUACUCAUACAUAUUCCAUUAAUCUUAUUAUUAAUAUAAACUAAUAUGUGUUAGUAAUUCUGCACUUUGUCAGGUGAAGAGCACAGGAAAAGAAUCAUUACAAUGGGGUGAGUGUGAGAGCAGCUUCAUUAGCUCAAUGUUCUUAAUUACUUGAAAACCAUUUAAAACUCACUAUGUUUGUGUUCUUGCUUAUACAUAUAUAUAUGGCUGGACUGGCUGGUAGAGUGUAUUCAGGUCUCACCUAUGGACUGGCCGAAGCUCGAGGAGCUCAUGAUUAGGUGUGUGCUUUUGUUCUUACUUGGACUAUGUGACAAUUGGAAGAUGUUUUGGCUAGAAAAGCAAAGGAGGGGUGGUACUUAGCCUUGGAAAUCUCUCAACUCAGUAUGCUUGGGCUUUUAUUGGCUUAUCAGUCACAGAAGUGAUCACUGCAAGUAUAACAGUUGUUAUAGGAACAACCUUGAAUUACUUUUUAGACAAUAGAAUUAAUAGAGCCGAGAUCCUUUUUCCUGGCGUUGGCUGCUUCUUGGUUGCAGUUUGCCUUGCUUCUACUGUCAACUUAUCUAAUGCAGCUGAUAAUAAAGAAAAACUUGAAGGUUUUUCAUCU